rnacentral:rRNA from 1 species
ACGGGGGGAGCAAGCGUUGUUCGGAAUUACUGGGCGUAAAGGGUUCGUAGGUGGCCGGCUAAGUCAGACGUGAAAUCCCUCAGCUUAACUGAGGAAGUGCGCCCGAAACUACGUCGCUAGAGUGUCGGAGAGGGUGGCGGAAUUCCCGGUGUAGAGGUGAAAUUCGUAGAUAUCGGGAGGAACACCAGUGGCGAAGGCGGCCACCUGGACGAACACUGACGCUGAGGUGCGAAAGCGUGGGUAGCAAACAGGA